GCUUGAAAUCAAUAUGAUUAUCAGAAAAUCUAACUCCUCCAUUAGUAUUCUUAUGAGGCUUAGACCCCUUAUAAUGAUUAUCUCCAUGUGCUGCAGCCACUUUAGAACUUGCAAUUUUCUUAUCAAAUCCAAAUUCUAUAUCCCCUCCUCCUCUUUUAUUGUGAAACUCAUUGUGCUUAUUAUUAUUAUUAUGUUUUCCCUCUUUUUGUUUUUGUGGUUGACCAUGACUACUUUCUUCACCUUAUUAGCUCCAUUGCUUUUCUUGCUACAUAAACGUCCCACAACACAAGCAAUAACAGAUAUGACAAAAACAAUAGCUAGGACAACAAAAACACUCACAAAUGAACCAUUGGAUGAGUUAUGAGAAGAAGAGGAUUGAGUCAUUGGCAUAUUGUUUGGUUGGUUAGGGAAAUUGUUUGGAUUGUUAGGAUAAACUUGAACUGGUUGUUGUGGUUGCAAUUGAUCCAUUUUCUUGAUAAUUUUGGGUCGUGACGAUUAUGUUAGGGUAGGUAGGACGUAGGACGAGCCUUGAUAGAAAAUUGUAGAGUAAAUAACAAGUGAUUGAGUUCAGUAGUUCGACUAAAGACUAAGGUUGGUGUUCUUUGAGUGAAACCAAAGGAAGAUGUUGGAGAAGCAAAUGGGA
rnacentral:misc_RNA from 1 species